UCAGUAUAAGUAGCGAGCUGGGCGCAUUCCUUCUCAGUUGUGUUAAAACUUGCUGGUAUUCCCCCGGUAUCAGCAGAGGUGUGUACGGGCACUGCUUUAAAACUGGGAAGGAGGAAGACGAGGCCAGGGAGCCGGAGGGUCACCAAGGUAGAUUUCCAGCAGCGCUAGUCCAGCUGAACACUUUCCAGCCUUGUUUUUCAGCAGCUUUGAGGAAAAGUAUAGGAUCCGUAUGUGAAACUUUCAUUGUACGUAGCGGAUGAGAAUAGAGAACUUGCUUUGGUCCAGACAAAAACAAUUAAAAAGCACUGAACCCAAAAUGGAAUGAAGAAUUUUAUUUCAGGUAAACCCAUCUAAUCACAGACUCCUAUUUGAAGUAUUUGACGAAAAUAGACUGGUAAGUGGAUGCCUGUAUUU
rnacentral:lncRNA from 1 species